rnacentral:rRNA from 1 species
AUUGAACGCUGGCGGCAGGCUUAACACAUGCAAGUCGAGCGAGCGGCGGACGGGUGAGUAAUGUCUGGGAACCUGCCUGAUGGAGGGGGAUAACUACUGGAAACGGUAGCUAAUACCGCAUACCAUCAGAUGUGCCCAGUGGGGAUUAGCUAGUAGGUGGGGUAAUGGCUCACCUAGGCGACGAUCCCUAGCUGGUCUGCGAGGAUGGCCAGCCAGACUGGAACAGAGACACGUUCCAGACUCCUACGGGAGGCAGUAGUGGGUAAUAUUGGACAAUGGGCGCAAGCCUGAUCCAGCCAUGCCGCGUGUGUGAAGAAGGGCUUCGGGUUGUAAAGCACUUUCAGCGAGGAGGCGUUACUAGCAGAAGAAGCACCGGCUAACUCCGUGCCAGCAGCCGCGGUAAUAC